rnacentral:tRNA from 1 species
UUUAAAUAGUUUAAAAAAAAUAUUGAUUUGUGAAAUCAAUGAUACUUAUUAGUUUUAAAUUU